GGCACAACUUGACAACAACUACUAAAAACACAAUGUUAUAAUAAUCUAUAAAUAAAUUACAGCAGCCUGUAUUACCACAGUAAACCCUAAAAUAGACAUGGGGGAAAACACACCUAGUUCACAGACAUUUAAUGUAUAAUUUUUUACAAUUGUUUGAUAAGACUUGUCUUUAGAUUUUUUUUCUUCAGAAAGUAUAACUGAGUUAUCUCCCAUUGUAUAAAAUAGAUUCUAAUUAUUUUAAAAUAUUAUAUGCAUCAUCACUCUAUAGAAAAUUUUGUAUUCUUCAUGAACACAAUAUAUUUU
rnacentral:lncRNA from 1 species